AUAUGCUUCGCAAUUUCGACAACUUGCAACUGAUAUCAAGUGGGAUGAUGCCGCACUUGUGAGUCAAUUUUUCUAUGGAUUACAAUAUGAGGUAGAGAAAUUGAUGCUUAAUUUACCUGAUCCUCAAACAUUGAGUCAAGCAAUUGACUUUGCUGUGAAGUGCGACAAUCGACUUUUUGAAUUUCGAUCCGAGAGUCGCACAAGUGGGCCUCAACGUUACUACAAUUCAAUGGCGACACCGACGUCUCCUCAACACAUACCUUCGGAAGUAGAGGAUAUGCAAAU
rnacentral:lncRNA from 1 species